ACACCUCAACUCUUCAUGGUUUUCCAUGAUGAGCUUGGCCUUUGGGGGUCUUGCUGGCCUGCGGUCGGCUCCUCUCAAAUGAAUCAGCUUGCCAGUGUUUGGUGGGCAUCACAGGUGUGAUAACUAUCUACGCUUGUGGUUUUCCACCAGGUAACCUUCAGCAGUGGAGGUUCGCUGGAGCUCACAGACGUCUCUCCUCAGCGAGGACAGCCCUUUGAAU
rnacentral:misc_RNA from 1 species